AUCGGGGACUGUUAGCAGCGUAGGAUUGAGGAGCUGGAAGAGACCUUUAGAAUAGCUGGUCAUUAUGCUCACCAGCUGUCCACACUAAGUUGGGCAUCAGUACAGUGACUUCCUGGGAGCAGGGGACUACCAGGUUGCCUAAGGAUGGGUGAACUGGCCCAGGUCAGAAAUGGCGCAGGUUAGAACUCCUGUGCUGAUGGGUAGUGGGGCUGCACCUGGGCAACAUAGUGAGCCCUUGGCUCUGCAAAAGUAAUAAAAUAAAAAUUAAGGAAAGCUGCUCAU
ensembl:misc_RNA Metazoa_SRP Metazoan signal recognition particle RNA